UGGGCCAAUAAUAAUAGUGUGUUAUGAAACAAAUACCAAGAUUAAUUUACUUUUGUACAAUUGAUACCCAAA
ensembl:snoRNA